rnacentral:snoRNA from 1 species
AAGCUAAAAGACCAGUUACUAGGAUGCAGAUAUGAGGGAAACCAGGUUUGCUAAAGCAAUGUCAAUGAUAGAAAUGGAUUAACUUCAGAUCCUACUGACGUUGCCUACUCAAUCAUAGUACAGGG